rnacentral:rRNA from 1 species
GCUUAGAGAGCUUGCUUUUUAAGCUUAGUGGCGAACGGGUGAGUAACGCGUGAGUAACCUGCCCUAGAGUGGGGGACAACAGUUGGAAACGACUGCUAAUACCGCAUAAGCCCACGGUACCGCAUGGCACUGAGGGAAAAGGAUUUAUUCGCUUUAGGAUGGACUCGCGUCCAAUUAGCUAGUUGGUGAGGUAACGGCCCACCAAGGCGACGAUUGGUAGCCGGACUGAGAGGUUGAACGGCCACAUUGGGACUGAGACACGGCCCAGACUCCUACGGGAGGCAGCAGUGGGGGAUAUUGCACAAUGGGGGAAACCCUGAUGCAGCGACGCCGCGUGGAAGAAGAAGGUUUUCGGAUUGUAAACUCCUGUCGUUAGGGACGAUAAUGACGGUACCUAACAAGAAAGCACCGGCUAACUACGUGCCAGCAGCCGCGGUAAAACGUAGGGUGCAAGCGUUGUCCGGAAUUACUGGGUGUAAAGGGAGCGCAGGCGGGAAGACAAGUUGGAAGUGAAAACCAUGGGCUCAACCCAUGAAUUGCUUUCAAAACUGUUUUUCUUGAGUAGUGCAGAGGUAGAUGGAAUUCCCGGUGUAGCGGUGGAAUGCGUAGAUAUCGGGAGGAACACCAGUGGCG